rnacentral:tRNA from 1 species
UGGGCUAUAGCCAAGCGGUAAGGCAACGGACUUUGACUCCGUCAUGCGAAGGUUCGAAUCCUUCUAGCCCAGCCA